GUUUUUGCCCCAAGUACUCAUGGCCAGCCUUACACAUGUUCCACCUAUGCCCUCGACCUCUCGAUUUUGAUAGAGGGAGCAGGUCUACUUCAGAUGUUCACUUCAGGCCGCCCCAUUUACCAUAAUGCAACACGAUUGUAAUGUCACCGCAGAUCACGGUAAAUUCAUCCCCACUCCAAACAACUCUGAUAUCUAUAUUUUUUAUUAUUAUUAUUUAUUAUUAUUUUUUUAUUUUUUUUUUAAAACAGCCCAAGAAUACCUAGGGGCCAUUCACAAAGAGUGCAUUUUUUCGAUUCCAAUGCGCUACUUUUACAUAGUUUUUCUAUGUAAAUGUCACACCCAGGGGCUGGCUAUGCUUUGACUAAGCCACACCCCUUCUCAACUUCCACCUCGAGGAGGUCCCCAAAGCCAACCCAAUGGCCAAACAACACGAGAACAAAUAAAUGAUAAAACAAUCUUUAUUUAAAUAUUUAAAAAUAGCUUGGGGAAUAGGGAAAGGGCAAUUAAAACUAAACUCUGACUCGGCCCUCCAGAUGGGCUAUGGCCGGGAAGAGGUCAGGGAGAAAGGGGGCCACGGGGAUCCGGGGCGUGGGACUCGGGCCCCGGCCUGAGUCUUAGGUAUCCGUAGCGCCCUCCUUCUUCCUCCUCUUCGCUGAAUACAGCUCACGGUAAGUACUGGUUCACACAGUUCGUUCCUUGGGUGCUCACUCGCUUUCUCUUUCUCCACAGGUAGCGGCGUAAGUACAGUUUUCCUCGGUCUCUCCUCGUGUUACCCACUCUCUCUCCUUUUCUCUCCACAGGUAUCAACUUAGGCACAAUAGCACAGUUAGUUUGCUUUGAAUGGCUCUCACCUCUGGGCUGGACACAGCGUACUGUAAGUACAGGUUCCCUCUGGUUCUCCUUGUGUUACUCACUCUCUCUUUCCUUUUCUCUCCACAGGUAUCAACUUGGGCACAAUAGCACAGUUAGUUUGCUUUGAAUGGCUCUCACCUCUGGGCUGAACACAGCGUACUGUAAGUACAGGUUCCCUCUGGUUCUCCUUGUGUUACUCACUCUCUCUUUCCUUUCCUCUCCACAGGUAUCAACUUGGACACAAAGCACAGUUACUCUGCUUUGGAUGGCUUUCACCUCUGGGCUGGACACAGCGUACCGUAUCAACUUGGGCACAAUAGCACAGUUAGUUUGCUUUGAAUGGCUCUCACCUCUGGGCUGGACACAGCGUACUGUAAGUACAGGUUCCCUCUGGUUCUCCUUGUGUUACUCACUCUCUCUUUCCUUUCCUCUCCACAGGUAUCAACUUGGACACAAAGCACAGUUACUCUGCUUUGGAUGGCUUUCACCUCUGGGCUGGACACAGCGUACCAUGCUAUCUCCGGAGAUCUGAAGCACGCUCACAACAUAUACUGUACUGAACUAGGCUAGGACCAGCAGUCUCCUUGUCCUCCCGCGACGAAGUGCGUGAAGGCGGGGGUUUAUCUGACAGGACACACGGCAAUACACAGCAGCCCACAGCAAUAUACAACACCACGUCAAAAUUAUAGGUUUUCACAGCACGAAGACUCACCCACCACACUCAGUGUACGAAAAGGACACCCGUCUUCCUUCACUUCGCUUGGUUCGGAUCUGGCGAUGGAAUAUGCGGCCUAGCUAGUGAUGUCGUCGUUGUGACUACUUCAAUAAGUAUUCCUUCGGCUCUCCCACCACGCUAUAUUAGGGGUAGGGCCGCCCUCCUCCUCCUGGAGAGAUCUACACAACGCCAGGUCAAUAUACAGGGCACUUUCGACUGGCUCUUAGUACUCACAUCAAUGCCGCUUCCAAUCCCCUUUUUCACGUCGUCUCAGUUCGCCGUAUAAUCCGUUCACUUCUCAACCUUUAAGGUUCGCGAUGUCUUCACAAUCAUACAAUUCCAGCCUGAGGGAGAGAGAGAGUUAGACAGCCACCAGCAGCGCACCAAGACGGGCACAACACAGUGCUUCACACACACCAGAAAGAGCUCCCAGACUGUGAAAUAACUUGGCCUUAAGUACUGCCUUGUCCAGCGUAUCCUCCAAUCACCAACCGCUGUCCCUAACUAGGCACAGGUGCAUCGAAUUCCCUGAUUUUCCUUCUUACGGCGCUACCGGAAGUUCCGGUGUUCUGAAACACUUCCGGGCGGAACCAAACUUCCCGAAUUUUGGUUCCGCCCCUAAAGAUCGUCACCUUGUGACAUAAACACGCACUAGAUGGUUGUGUAUGACCGUUGCGUCUCGCAUCUUUUGCAUCAUCUCACACUUGAAAGCCAUGUUAUUAAGACUAAGUUAAAAGAAUUUAAACUUAUACACGCAGCACCGCUCAUCAAUGUCAGUUCCAAAACAGUGGACCAAUCAGAAGACCCCGGAGGCGGGGGAAGCAUUGCAAACUUUUGUUUACUGUAGCAAAUUGGCAUGGCAACUGUUUUAUUUGAUGCAAAGAUGGUGCGGGAGGUGUCCUUUACUUUAAAAAAAAAAAAAAGAAAAGAAAUAACAAUUCUUAGUGCUGUGUCUUGAGUUUUUGGAUGCGAAGAUGCUCUCUGUGUGAACGGUCCCCUAGAUUAUUAUACUGAGUUUAUUAUGUAACCCUAAUUAUGAAUUGGAACUAUAGGAGUUAUUAAAAUCAGGUAUAACAGGACAAUACAUUUUUGUUGAACACAAUUUGCAUAGCAGUUUCCCAUCUUGUAGCAGACUACAGUGAUCUAUCGUCCCCCAAUGACAAUAUUUAAUUAGAUUUUAUUUUUUUAUCUGCAACAACAUUAUGAAUGUUUUUUUUUUUUUAAUUGCAAUUAACAUAACACAAUAGCCAUUAACUAGUCAAUGACCCAUAACUGUCAGAUCAACAUAUUUCUUUCCUCUCCAAUAUGUUAGGAAGGAUUGUUGAUUAGCAAUAAAAUUAAAUGUUGAGUGUGUAUAUGAGGUUAUUAACUCUGACAAAAUGAUUGAAAGGCCAGUUUAUGGUGACAGGAUGCAUGUUAUCAUAAGACAAAGUGGUCAAACUGUUCGGUAAAUUUGUCCCUCAAUGUUCAGCCUGACUGUUUUUGUCUGUAUUAACAUCUUUAACUUCAUCUCACUACUGGCAGGCAUUUACGCCCCCACAAAGGCUGCUGGGAAAUGUGAAGCAUGUUCAUCAUCCCGUUUAUUACAUCAUCUCGGUCUUUCGCACACGCUCUCAUGAGCUCUUGGGUCAGGCAUUAUCUCGUUCAUUGGUGGGCUAAUCUUAACACAGCCUGUCAUGUCUUUCGUCACCCAUAUGCUGGUGAGGGCCGACAGGGUGAGAGAGUGAAUCACUCCAGCUGAGGCAAGUCAGUGC
ensembl:lncRNA